rnacentral:lncRNA from 1 species
AAGAGGAGGGGAAAAUUUGAGAUGAAUGAAGCCUUUCAAACCAUCUCACACCUUCCAAUCCCUGAUUACAUGCAUAGUUGACCACAGUUGACUUUUCUAUGGUUUUGGAUGACUGGGCCAUGUUCUGAUGAAUUCCAAGCCUCUUUCAAUUGAGAUCUUGCUUCCAAAUGAUAUCACAAGUUAUAUGAACUCUUUAUGAGUGAUCAUGGUGUCCAAGUUCUUC